GAUGAACGCUGGCGGUGUGCCUAACACAUGCAAGUCGAACGAGAUGCGUAUCGGAAAGCUUCGGCCGGAAGAUGCGUUAUCUAGUGGCGGACGGGUGAGUAACACGUGGGUAACCUGCCUUAUGGAGGGGGAUAACAGAGAGAAAUCACUGCUAAUACCGCAUAAGCACACAGUACCGCAUGGUAGAGUGUGAAAAGAUUUAUCGCCAUAAGAUGGACCCGCGUCUGAUUAGCCAGUUGGCAGGGUAAAAGCCUACCAAAGCGACGAUCAGUAGCCGAUCUGAGAGGAUGACCGGCCACAUUGGGACUGAGACACGGCCCAAACUCCUACGGGAGGCAGCAGUGGGGAAUAUUGCACAAUGGGGGAAACCCUGAUGCAGCGACGCCGCGUGAGUGAAGAAGUAUUUCGGUAUGUAAAGCUCUAUCAGCAGGGAAGAUAA
rnacentral:rRNA from 1 species